UGGAUAGUGAAGAUUAACUGAUGCAUAAUCCAACACUUGAUCCGAGGACGGCUGUUGCCGUGCGCGUGAUGUACAUACAUCUUUGCAUCUGAAUCCAU